CCGCCCCUCCAUCCCUUGGAUAGAAGAUAGAAGGGCAGAAUUUUUGGUUUUUUCAUGUUGUCAAAGAGUUGAACAAUGGUUUUUUCGUGUUGUCAAAGAGUUGAACUAUGAAAAUAGAUGGCGAGUGCCUGAUCGAAUUGAUCAGGUCAUGUAGGAACAAGGUUCAAGUCUACCGGUCUGUUAGGAUGCCUCAGCUGCAUACAUCACUGCACUUCCACUUGACACCUAUCAUAAUGAUAAACGGCUCGUCUCGCCGUGACCUUC
rnacentral:rRNA from 1 species